rnacentral:ncRNA from 1 species
GGCCAAGUUUUUAAGGGCGCACGGUGGAUGCCUUGGCACCAGGAACCGAUGAAGGACGUGGGAGGCCACGAUAGUCCCCGGGGAGUCGUCAACCAGGCUUUGAUCCGGGGGUUUCCGAAUGGGGAAACCCGGCAGUCGUCAUGGGCUGUCACCCGCUGCUGAACACAUAGGCAGUGUGGAGGGAACGCGGGGAAGUGAAACAUCUCAGUACCCGCAGGAAGAGAAAACAACCGUGAUUCCGGGAGUAGUGGCGAGCGAAACCGGAUGAGGCCAAACCGUAUGCGUGUGAGACCCGGCAGGGGUUG